rnacentral:ncRNA from 1 species
AGCAUAGAUAGUGGAGUCGGUGCCCUCUGGGCUUAAUAGGGAAGACGGUGAAAUUCCGUCACGGUCCCGCCGCUGUAACCGGGGACAAAAUCCGCAAUUAAAGUCACUCUUUCCUUUCAGGGAAAGGGGAAGACGCGGAAAGUAGGCUGAACCGGAAGUCAGAAGACCUGCCCACCCACAAACCUGAAU